UACGUAGGGACCGAGCGUUGUCCGGAUUCAUUGGGCGUAAAGAGCUCGUAGGCGGCCACUCAAGUCGAAUGUGAAACCUCGAGGCUUAACCUCGAGCCUGCAUUCGAUACUGGGCGGCUAGAGUCUGGUAGGGGGAUCUGGAAUUCCUGGUGUAGCGGUGGAAUGCGCAGAUAUCAGGAGGAACACCAAUGGCGAAGGCAGCUCGCUGGAACGGUACUGACGCUGAGGCGCGAAAGCGUGGGGAGCGAACAGG
rnacentral:rRNA from 1 species